rnacentral:rRNA from 1 species
CACGCUGUAAACGAUGGGUACUAGGUUUGGUGGGUCUUGACCCCCGCCGAACCGGAGCUAACGCGAUAAGUACCCCGCCUGGGAAGUACGGUCGCAAGACUAAAACUCAAAGGAAUUGACGGGGGCCCGCACAAGCGGUGGAUCAUGUGGUUUAAUUCGAAGCAACGCGAAGAACCUUACCUGGAUUUGACAUCCUUGGACAAACGUAGAGAUACGUCUUUCGUAGCAAUACGACCAAGUGACAGGUGC